CUAUCUCCACUUCACUGCUGCCAGUAUCGGAUUUCAUCGCAGAAAAAGUUAUGGCUGCAAUAAUGAAAGUUCUUUAGUCCAAAACUAACAUUAUAAUAGAUGAAAGUUUUGAGAUUGACAUCGUAACAGUAAGAUCUGUUGGUGCAGGAAAAAAACCUAAAGGUUUGCAAUAUUGAAUUUGAUCGUAUCAAGAAACGAUCAAUUAUUAGUGUUCCUUAUGAUCCUUCAAGCUUGUUGUGCAAAGGCCAUAGUAUUUGCUUGGGAAAAAAUCAACAGCCCAUAAAUGCAAUGAGGGAUCAUAAACUUCACCCUCCCUUAGAAAAUAGGGCUCGAGAACUGUACAGGUCAGCAGGAGUUCCAUUAGGCACCUGUGCAUUCAAAGAAGUUGCUUUAUUCGAGAAUCAUCUAGAUGUUCAGGUGGUUGUGAUAUCCUCUAAAAACUUGAAUCAAGUCGCUUAUAAAGAACGUUAUAGAUCAACAAGAAUAAAUUUGUCGCUGCAUGAUGGACAGUAUGAUAUUGUGGGAAAGAAUCCUCACCAGAGCAACCUAUAAGAAGGCCCCAGCUGAUCACGUGAGUCCUCUCCACGUGAUGCAAGCCAGCCAGAUGCCUCUUAAAAAGGCAGAUCCAGAGAAAGACUUGGAAGAGACGUGGCGUUCUUACCUUACGCUGUGGAAUAGGCUCUGCAUCCUUUUGUUAUAUACGCUCUUAAAUGUUAAGCUUAUGGUUAACUAAAAAUGUUUUAAAGACACUUCCUCGUCUUCAUUUAGCCUAUCCCACAAUACAAUAAAAUCGUUGAAAUGUUUUUAUGGUACUGAUUACUACUGUGAAAAGUAUGAUGGAGCUUUUCAAUCGAUAGAAAAUCAUCGAUGUCCUAAUGCAUGCCAUAUAUUUCUGAAAUGUAGCUGCAUUUUGACUGAGCCCAAAAGACGACUUGAUUGCAACAGUCUAUGCCAAUCAGAACAAUGUUUCACUGCACAUAAAGCACUGGUAGGAAAUAAGAUGCUUUCCAUAUGUGAGCGGAUGUAUCAAUGCAGACUGUGCUGUGCUAUUCGUCGACGAGACGGUUCUUUCAGCAUGUAUGUGGCACCCAAAACUGUCCCUCAUGCCAUAGAUUUGUGAUGUCAUCUGAAUAUCUCUGCUGUCUACAAAGAGUCUCUAAAGUCACCCUGUGAAAAGCUGAUAUUUUUUUGAUUUCGAAACAGAUCAAUUUUCGGGAGGGCACAUUGUGAACGCAGAUGGCAGAGAAACAGUAUUUAAGGGCUACUCAUCAUUACAGGAAUUUUGUGCAUGGCUUUUUGCUCCGGUUCAUAAAGGCUAUACGGCUAUAGCACAUAACAUGAAGGGAUAUGUAAAAACUAUUUCAUAUUUUAAAUAAAUUUAAAAUUAUAAGGCAAUUUUUUCAAGCACUUUUUAAAAUCUAUCUAUCAUUUUUUUAGAUUUCAUGGACAGUUUAUAACUGGCUGGUUACUGCAGCAAGGCAUUGAUCCGGAUGUAAUACCCAAUGGAUCAAAAUUAAUGUCCAUCAAGCAUUCAUCAUUGGACAUAACAAUUAUUGAUUCAAUGAGUUUUCUCCCGAUGGCAUUAUCUAAGCUAACAAGCUGCUUUGCAUUGAACACGUUGAAGAAAGGUUACUUCCCUCAUCUCUUGAAACUGAGGGAAAAACCCAAAUUAUGCUGGAUUGGAUCUUGGAUUUUUAUGGCGGAAGAGCCAAAGCUGACUAUGCUGCGCCAAAACAAGUCAAAAUUAUGUUGGAUCUCUUCCCAGUCAGCAGUAUUACUGUCCGGAUACGAUGAUUCUUCCAGCAAGAGAAAAAUUUACAUAUUGGCACUUAGAAUGAUCAAUUCGAUUUUCAAAAAGAAAUAUUAGAAUACUGCCGCUCGGAUGUACACAUAUUGCGUCGUUGUUGCCAAAUAUUUAGGGAAGAGUUUUUGAAAAUUGCUUGUGUAGAUCCGUUCCAGUACGUAACUAUUGCAUCAGCUUGCAUGGCUGCGUAUAGAAACGGUCACAUAACAAACGACACGAUCGCAAUGGUGCUAUUGUGGCUAUAUUAGUGGGGAGAAUUACAGCCCUGAUGCGAUUCGUUGGCUGGAUUAUAUAUCGUCUUCUGAAGGUAUAGAAAUCCAGCAUUGCUAAAUAAGAAUGGCGAAAGAAAAAUCGGAUGUGUCUUGGUAGAUGGAUACUGUGAAGAGACAAAAACAGUAUAUCAAUACCAGGGCUGUUUCUUUCAUGGAUGUGGAGUUUGCUUUGAUGGGGAUUCCAAGCAUUCGUUGAAAGGCCUUACUAUGUCUUCCGUGCGGCAAAAGACGGCAGAAAUCUGCGCAAAAAUCCAAUCUCUUGGGUAGACUGUUGUUGAAAUGUGAGAUUGAUUGAUUGAGUUUUCUGGCGCAAGAGCCAUGCUUGGCGAUGCUGUUGAAAUGUGAGAACAUAAGUUUUUGAGGAGGAAAAAAGAAGACCCCAAUCUCCGAUCUUUUCUAAUUACCCAUUCAUUAUAGGAUCGUUUGAACCCCAAAGAUUCAUUUUUUGGGGGACGAACAAAUGGAAUGAAAUUUCACUACGAGGGAAAUAUAAAAUAUGUUGAUUUCACAUCACUCUAUCAAUGGGUCAACAAAUAUUGUUUGUAUCCAACUCGACACCCUCAAAUUAUAGCGGAAACUUUGGAGAGAUCGAAGACUAUUUUGGCAUUAUCCGCUGCAGGGUGCAUUAAGUAUAUCACUUCCCAAGAUCGUCCAACUCUCUUUUCAGAACAUAUAUAGAUACUUUUCUGAAAAUAAAACAAGAGAGUAGUGGAUGGCCCAGUAAUUGCACUACCGAAGAAAAAAAGGUAACUUACAUUCGGGAGUAUGAACAAAAAGAAGGGAUCAAGUAGGAUCCUCAAAACAUUGCCAAAAAUCCAGGGCGAAGUCAGGUUGCAAAACUUGCUUUAAAUAGUUUCUGGGGAAGAUAGGGAAUGAAUACUGCACAAAUGCAAUUGAACUACGUUCAUACAGUGUCUGAGUUUAACAAGUUACUUGAUGACCCUUCCAAAAAUAUUGAAGACAUAUCUUCCAACACCGGAAGUAGCCGCUAUUAAGUGGGAAUUCAGAAAAGAAUUUCUGUUUCAAGACGCUUCCACCAAUGUAUUUCUCGCUUUUUCCACCACAGCUUGGGCGCGCAUCAAGUUGUAUGAUGAAAUAGAGAGGUUGAGAAGAAAUGUUCUAUAUCACGAUACAGAUUCGAUACAAGCGAUGGCACGAACGAUCCUCCCCUGGGAAUCUUUCGUGGAUGAACUGGAUAGCGAUACUAUAACAACUUUUAUUUCUGAUGUAUCAAAAAAAUAUGUCUUCAAAGCAAGAAGUGGAGAAACAUGCUACAAAGUUAGAGACUUCACUUUAAAUUCUAAGAAUGUUAAAAAAAAAAUUAAAGUUUGAAGCCAUGGAAGCAUUGAGACAAAAUAUGGAUCACAAAAGAACAACAAUACCUCUUGAAACCCCAAAUAAAAUCACCAGAGAUGCCAAAAGAAGAAAAGUGAUCAAUAAAAAAGAAAUAAAGAUAUACGGGAUGGUGUGUGAAAAUACCUUUUACUUUUGUUUCAUAUCCAUAUGGUAGUCACUUGUUCAUAAUAUUACUUUUUCGUUAAA